rnacentral:rRNA from 1 species
CCUACGGGCGGCAGCAGUGGGGAAUAUUGGACAAUGGGGGGAACCCUGAUCCAGCCAUGCCGCGUGUGUGAAGAAGGCCCUCGGGUUGUAAAGCACUUUCAGUGAGGAAGAACGCCUGGUGGUUAAUACCCAUCAGGAAAGACAUCACUCACAGAAGAAGCACCGGCUAACUCCGUGCCAGCAGCCGCGGUAAUACGGAGGGUGCGAGCGUUAAUCGGAAUUACUGGGCGUAAAGCGCGCGUAGGUGGCUUGAUAAGCCGGUUGUGAAAGCCCCGGGCUCAACCUGGGAACGGCAUCCGGAACUGUCAAGCUAGAGUGCAGGAGAGGAAGGUAGAAUUCCCGGUGUAGCGGUGAAAUGCGUAGAGCUCGGGAGGAAUACCAGUGGCGAAGGCGGCCUUAUGGACUGACACUGACACUGAGGUGCGAAAGCGUGGGUAGCAAACAGGAUUAGAUACCCUGGUAGUC